AAAUUGAAGAGUUUGAUCAUGGCUCAGAUUGAACGCUGGCGGCAGGCCUAACACAUGCAAGUCGAGCGGAAACGAGUUAUCUGAACCUUCGGGGAACGAUAACGGCGUCGAGCGGCGGACGGGUGAGUAAUGCCUAGGAAAUUGCCCUGAUGUGGGGGAUAACCAUUGGAAACGAUGGCUAAUACCGCAUGAUGCCUACGGGCCAAAGAGGGGGACCUUCGGGCCUCUCGCGUCAGGAUAUGCCUAGGUGGGAUUAGCUAGUUGGUGAGGUAAGGGCUCACCAAGGCGACGAUCCCUAGCUGGUCUGAGAGGAUGAUCA
rnacentral:rRNA from 1 species